UACGUAGGGGGCAAGCGUUGUCCGGAAUCAUUGGGCGUAAAGAGCGUGUAGGCGGCUCGGUAAGUCCGCUGUGAAAGUCCAGGGCUCAACCCUGGAAUGCCGGUGGAAACUGUCGAGCUAGAGUCCGGAAGAGGCGAGUGGAAUUCCUGGUGUAGCGGUGAAAUGCGCAGAUAUCAGGAGGAACACCAAUGGCGAAGGCAGCUCGCUGGGGCGGUACUGACGCUGAGACGCGAAAGCGUGGGGAGCAAACAGG
rnacentral:rRNA from 1 species